rnacentral:rRNA from 1 species
UCUUGGUCAUUUAGGAGGAAAUCAAAAGUGGUAACAAGGUCUCCGUUGGUGAACCAGCGGAGGGAUCAUUACAGAGUUAUCCAACUCCCAAACCCAUGUGAACAUAUCUCUUUGUUGCCUCGGCGCAAGCUACCCGGGACCUCGCGCCCCGGGCGGCCCGCCGGCGGACAAACCAAACUCUGUUAUCUUCGUUGAUUAUCUGAGUGUCUUAUUUAAUAAGUCAAAACUUUCAACAACGGAUCUCUUGGUUCUGGCAUCGAUGAAGAACGGCAGCGAAAUGCGAUAAGUAAUGUGAAUUGCAGAAUUCAGUGAAUCAUCGAAUCUUUGAACGCACAUUGCGCCCAUUAGUAUUCUAGUGGGCAUGCCUGUUCGAGCGUCAUUUCAACCCCUAAGCACAGCUUAUUGUUGGGCGUCUACGUCUGUAGUGCCUCAAAGACAUUGGCGGAGCGGCAGCAGUCCUCUGAGCGUAGUAAUUCUUUAUCUCGCUUCUGUUAGGCGCUGCCCCCCCGGCCGUAAAACCCCCAAUUUUUUCUGGUUGACCUCGGAUCAGGUAGGAAUACCCGCUGAACUUAAGCAUAUCAAUAAGCGGAGGAAAAGAAACCAACAGGGAUUGCCCCAGUAACGGCG